CGUUAGCGGCGGACGGGUGAGUAACACGUGGGUAACCUACCUAUAAGACUGGGAUAACUUCGGGAAACCGGAGCUAAUACCGGAUAAUAUUUCGAACCGCAUGGUUCGAUAGUGAAAGAUGGUUUUGCUAUCACUUAUAGAUGGACCCGCGCCGUAUUAGCUAGUUGGUAAGGUAACGGCUUACCAAGGCGACGAUACGUAGCCGACCUGAGAGGGUGAUCGGCCACACUGGAACUGAGACACGGUCCAGACUCCUACGGGAGGCAGCAGUAGGGAAUCUUCCGCAAUGGGCGAAAGCCUGACGGAGCAACGCCGCGUGAGUGAUGAAGGUCUUCGGAUCGUAAAACUCUGUUAUUAGGGAAGAACAUACGUGUAAGUAACUGUGCACGUCUUGACGGUAC
rnacentral:rRNA from 1 species